GACGAACGCUGGCGGCGUGCCUAAUGCAUGCAAGUCGCACGGACGACCUUCGGGGGGUGAGCGGCGCACGGCUGAGGAACACGUGGAUACCUGCACGACCGUGGGCGAAAACCUAGAGAAAGCCGACAUACUCCCGCAUACGUCCAGCCCGCAAGCGCGGGGGCAAGCCGCAAGGCGCGGUCGGAGGGGGCUGCGGCCCAUCAGGUAGUCGGCGGGGUAACGGCCCACCGAGCCGAUGACGGGUAGCUGGGCUGUGAGGACAGACAGCCAGACUGGGACUGAGACACGGCCCAGACUCCUACGGGAGGCAGCAGCAAGGAAUUUUCCCCAAUGGGCGCAAGCCUGAGGGAGCAACGCCGCGUGGAGGACGACGGCCUUCGAGUUGUAAACUCCUUUUGGGGGGGACGAUAGUGACGGUACCCCCCGAAUCAGCCCCGGCUAACUCUGUACCAGCCGCCGCGGUAAGAC
rnacentral:rRNA from 1 species